rnacentral:lncRNA from 1 species
AUGGCGUCCGUCCCCCAUGGCAUCUGUCCCUCAUGGUGUCCAUCCCAUGUUGUAUCCGUCCCCCGUGGCGUCUGUCCCCUGUGGCGUCUGUCCCCCAUGGUGUCCAUCCCUCGUGGCAUCUGUCCCCCGUGGCGUCCGUCCCCGUCGCAUCUGUCCCCCAUGGCGUCUGUCCCUCGUGGUGUCCAUCCCGCAUUGUAUCUGUCCCCCGUGGCAUCUGUCCCCCGUGGCUUUUCUCCCUCGUGGAGUCCAUCACCCGUUGUAUCUGUCCCCCGUGGCAUCUGUCCCCCGUGGCGUCCGUCCCUCGUGGAGUCUGCCCCUGUGGCGUCUGUCCCUCGAGGCGUCUGUCCCCUGUGGCAUCUGUCCCUCUUGGCAUCUAUCCCCUGUGGCGUCUGUCCCUCAUGGCGUCCAUCCUCCGUUGUAUCUUUCCCCCGCGGUGUCGGUCCCUCGUGGCGUCUGUCCCCCAUGGCGUCGGUCCCCCGUGGCGUCUGUCCCUCGUGGUGUCCAUCCUGCGUUGUAUCCGUCCCCCGUGGCGUCCGUCCCCCGUGGCGUCCGUCCCCCGAGGCUUCUGUCCCCCAUGGCGUCCGUCCCCCGUGGCGUCCGUCCCUCGUGGCGUCUGUCCCCCGUGGCGUCCGUCCCCUGUGGCAUUUGUCCCCCGUUGCAUCUGUCCCCCAUGGCGUCUGUCCCCCGUUGCAUCUGUCCCCUGGGGCGUCGGUCCCCCGUGGCAUUUGUCCCCCGUGGCGUCGGUCUCCCUUGGCGUCCAUCCCUCGUGGCAUCUGUCCCCCGUGGCAUCUGUCUCUCGUGGUGCAGAGCCCGCAUUGUAUCUGUCCCCCGUGGCGCCUGUCCCCCGUGGCGCCUGUCCCUGGUGGCAUCUGCCCCCCAUGGCAUCCAUCCCCCGUGGCGCCUGUCCCUCAUGGCGUCUGUCCCCUGUGGCGUCCAUCCUCUCUGGCGUCUGUCCCCCGUGGCGUCUGUCCCCCGUGGCGUCCAUCCUCUCUGGCGUCCAUCCCCCGUGGCAUCGGUCCCCCGUGGAAUCUGUCCCCCAUAGUGUCCGUCCCCCAUGGCCUCUGUCCCCCGUGGCAUCAGUCCCCCAUGGCGUCUGUCCUGUGGCGUCUGUCCCCCGUGGUGUCGGUCCCCCGUGGCAUUGGUCCCCCGUGGUGUUCAUCCUCUGUGGCAUCUGUCCCCCGUGGUGUCCGUCCCUCAUGGUGUCUGUCCCCCGUGGCAUCUGUCCCUUGUGGUGUCCGUCCCCCGUUGUAUCUGUCCGCCAUUGUAUCUGUCCCUCAUGGCAUCUGUCCCCUGUGGCGUCCGUCCCCCGUGGCGUCUGUCCCCCGUGAUGUCCAUCCACCAUUGUGUCCAUAUCUCGUGGCAUCCAUCCCUUGUCGCGUCCGUCCACUGUGGCAUCUGUCCCCCGUGUCAUCUAUCCCUUGUGGUGUCCAUCCACCGUUGUGUCCAUCCCUCGUGGCGUCCAUCCCCCAUGGUGACCAUCCACUGUGGUGUGCAUCCCCCGUGUGUCCGUCCCCCGUGUGUCCGUCCCCCGUGUGUCCGUCCCCYGUGUGUCCGUCCCCUGUGGCGUCUGUCCCCCGUGGCAUCCAUCCCCCGUGGCGCCCGUACCCCAUGGCAUCUGUCCCCCGUGGCGUCUGUCCCCCUGGUGUCCAUCCCCCAUGGCAUCCGUCCCCUAUGACCUCUGUUCCCCGUGGCAUCUGUCCCGCAUUGUGUCCAUCCCCCAUGGCAUCCAUCCCCCAUGGCAUCCGUUUCCCAGGGCAUCUGUCUCCUGGGGCGUCCGUCCCCUGUGGUGUCCAUCCACCGUUGUGUCCAUCCCCUGUGACAUCUGUCCCCCAUGGUAUCUGUUCCCCGGGGCAUCCAUCCCCUGUGGCAUCUGGUUCCUGUGGCAUCUGUCCCUGUGGUGUCCAUCCCCCAUGGCAUCCGUCCUCUGUGGUUUCUGUGCCCGUGGUGUCCGUGCCAGUGCUGUUCAUCCCCCGUGGCGUCCGUCCCCCGUGGUGUCCGUCCACUGUGGCAUCCAUCCCCCGUGGCUCUGUCCCCCGUGGCGUCCAUCCCCAUGGUGUCCAUCACCCGUGGCGUGCAUCCCCCAUCAUGUCCGUCUCCUGUGGCGUCCAUCCACCGUGGCAUCCGUCCCCAUAGCAUCCAUCCACUGCGGUGUCCGUCCCCCGUGACGUCCAUCGCCAUGGCAUCCAUCCCCCGUGGUGUCUGUCCCCCGUGGCAUCUGUCCCCAUGGUGUCUGUUCCCCUUGGCAUCUGUCCCCGUGGCAUCCAUCCCCUGUGGCAUCUGUCCCCUGUGGCGUCCGUCCCAGUGGCGAUCAUCCCCCAUGGCAUCCAUCCCCCGUAGUGUCCCUCCCCCGUGGCGUCCGUCCCCAUGGCACACCUACCUUAUGGCAUCCAUCCCUCGUGGUGUCCAUCCCCCGUGGCCUCCGUCCCUGUGGUCUUCAUCCCUUGUGGCAUCCGCACUGCCCGUUAAAGCCAGGCUGGAGCUGGAGCUGGCUCUUUGCUGGGCCUUUCCCUCCCCGAAAUCCUCUGGUCCCAGGCUGCGGCUUGUGCUGCUCCGCAGUGCAUCGGGAACACGAGGAUAUGCUGAUACCCGCGCCGGAGAAUAUUAGGAGAAAAACGCCCAAAGUGUUGUGACAAAAUAGUUUGAAAGUAAAGGACGAGGCUCAGCCCAGCUUCUGCCCUUCGUGGUGGCCUUCGUUUGGCGACCCGCGUUUCGGUUUGCGGGGGCUCCACCGACACGGAGUGCGAUUUAGUCACCCGAUGGGAAAGACGACGUUUGCCCAGCGAGCGGCGCGCGCCGGCAGCUCUUUGCGGUCGCCCCCUCGAAGGCAGGAUUGGGGCAACGCGAAUCUGGCCCAUCCGCGCCGAGGCCACGCAGCACUGCUGCCUGCUGGCCAGACCGCGCUGCAAGUGGCCGGUGGCCCUGGGACUCCGUCGGGGCAGCGGCUCUGUCGUGGCCGUGGCCAUUGUGAUGUCAAGGUAGCCAUGGCGCCGGCGGAGCCGCAGACGACCCGYGCGGUUUCCCACUGGGAAACCAGUGCUUUUCAUUCCUGUUAAGUGGAUGUUCGUAGCAAGGGACCUUUCUUCUUUGCACGUUAAAGCAGGUUUAGCAACGGGCAUCAGCCAAGACAGCAUCA